rnacentral:rRNA from 1 species
CCUACGGGAGGCAGCAGUGAGGAAUAUUGGUCAAUGGGCGAGAGCCUGAACCAGCCAAGUCGCGUGAAGGAUGACGGCCCUACGGGUUGUAAACUUCUUUUGUCAGGGAGCAAUUGGGUCCACGCGUGGGCUUAGCGAGAGUACCUGAAGAAAAAGCAUCGGCUAACUCCGUGCCAGCAGCCGCGGUAAUACGGAGGAUGCGAGCGUUAUCCGGAUUUAUUGGGUGUAAAGGGUGCGUAGGCGGAAUAUCAAGUCAGCGGGAAAAAUUCGGGGCUCAACCCCGUCGUGCCGUUGAAACGGAUGUUCUUGUGUGGGCGAGAAGUAUGCGGAAUGCGUGGUGUAGCGGUGAAAUGCAGAGAUAUCACGCAGAACUCCGAUUGCGAAGGCAGCAUACCGGCGCCCAACUGACGCUGAAGCACGAAAGCGUGGGUAUCGAACAGGAUUAGAUACCCCAGUAGUC